UCGGAGCCUGGAGCCUGCUUUAGAUUCUGUGUCUCCCUCUCUCUGCUCCUCCCCCAUUCAUGCUCUCUCUCUCUCUCUCCCUCAAAAAUAAAUAAACAUAAAAAAAUUAAGGUUCUUUCAUUUUGCACAGCUCUCCAAGACUCCUUUCUACUGUUAGGUUGGAUGCUGCCUGAUUUGAAUCCAUUUUUGCUCAAAUGAACUCAGAAUUUUUCAUAUGCCACAGUUUAUCUUUUAACAGUUCUGUCGUCAGGAGAGGGAUCCAAAGGAGACCCCAUAGCCCCCAAGAGCCAUGAGUAACCACACAAAGAGACCUGCUGAGCUCCUUAAGCUCCUUGCCUUCUAGCUAUCUCUGAAGGUGGGGUUUCUGGUGACCAGGAUGAGAUCCACUUGCUCUGCAGACUGAACACAGGAUCCUGGAAAAAUGAAGAGGCUGCAAAAGAUAAAAGAUCCACCCCCCGCCUUUCCAUGUAUGAGCGCCAGUUUUUCUACUACCUGGACAAGUCUUUUCAACUUUGGACAUUUGAGUGUGAGUGUACAAUGGUAAGUUAUUGCAGUUUAAAGUCACAUUUUCUCUGAUGACUAAUGACGUUGAACAUCUUUUCAUGUGCUUAUUAGUUAUUUGUAUUUUCUUUUUUGAUGAAGUGUCUGUUUAAAGCA